CCAUACAAUCCCCAGUCCCCACUCCACCAUCCCUCCUCCCUGCCUAUCUUCACUCUCCCCCUGCGACCGCCGCUAGAUCUGGAUGCGCCGACUUCGGCUCAGGCGACGGCCGACGGCGUUAGGCGCGUUGGCGGCUUGCUGGCUGGCGGGCUGAGGGUGUGAGGUAGGCGGCGUCGCGAAUCGCGGGCGCGCACAGCGGCUGCGCCGUGCCCAUGAGCGAUGGACGGAAAGGCGCGGAGGAGCCUGCAACCAGGCGGGUGGCGGCCAGGCGAGCGGCCGACGCCCGUGAAGGCUGCGUCUGGGGCUCCACCAGGAAUCGCCACCAAUAGCCGGCUCUCACGCUUCAGAUCCGAACGCCAGCUGACCAGCGCCACCCUCUGGAACUGGAGAAUCCCAGUCACUGCUCGUGCGCACUGCUGGCCCGGCCUCUCGACGUCCUCCCUUCUGGCAGCCGCUGCUUGAUUGCUUGUCUUUUGCAGUGAACUAUGAUUUUGGUGUUGCGGCCUACUCAGUGCUCACCCAUCACACUCAUACCUGAGAAACUGGUGCUAUGAAAAUCUGCAUAUUGGACUGUUUAUGCAAUCAUUUCAAAAGAUCAUUUAUGUCCUGAUGCCGCAGUCAUCUCUACUUCACUAGUUGAGUUAAGCAAUCGCUAAUUGCUUGGAAAACUAGGAAGCACAAUAUAGCUGAAGGUCCAGACAGGGGUUUGACAUCAUGGCUUAGAGCAAUAGUACCAUGCCAUUUUAGAGUGAAGUAGUAUUCCCAGGAUGCAAAAGAGAUACAUUGAAAUUUGCCUAGUAAGUCCCUUUUUUUGGACUGCUUGCGAUGCCGUUCAUCUAAACUUAUGUCUGGUUGAACGGCUUUUGGUUUCUAAGCCUGUACUUGUAGGAAGUAGUGUUCAAUUCGAUCUCAGUUGUAGCUGUUUAUGAUAUUUGUAUUGCUAUUGUUUGAUACCAUAUUGUUGUCAAAUUGAUUAAUCGAAUGAAUAUGUAUGUCGAUGCAUUUGAAUCCA